UACAGAGGGGGCAAGCGUUGUUCGGAAUUACUGGGCGUAAAGGGCGCGUAGGCGGCCUGCUAAGUCGAACGUGAAAUCCCCGAGCUCAACUCGGGAACUGCGUCCGAUACUGACAGGCUUGAAUCCGGGAGAGGGAUGCGGAAUUCCAGGUGUAGCGGUGAAAUGCGUAGAUAUCUGGAGGAACACCGGUGGCGAAGGCGGCAUCCUGGACCGGCAUUGACGCUGAGACGCGAAAGCGUGGGGAGCAAACAGG
rnacentral:rRNA from 1 species